rnacentral:tRNA from 1 species
ACAACAUUAUUAUAUUCAAUAUACUAACUUUCCAAGUUAGAGAACCUUAAAAUAAGUA